rfam:Erythranthe guttata cultivar DTN x IM62 scaffold_1599_contig_1, whole genome shotgun sequence.
AGACCGUGAUUUGGGCAUCUCCGAAUAAGUUGUUUGAACCGCUCCCACGUCUCGAAUAAUGCUUCACCGGAUUCUUGUAUGAAGUUUUGUAUUUCUCUCCGGAUUCU